GCAGGUGUAGCUCAAUGGUAGAGCGUGUGCUUAGCAUGCACCAGGUCCUGGGUUCAAUCCCCAGUACCUCG
rnacentral:tRNA from 1 species